rnacentral:rRNA from 1 species
GACGAACGCUGGCGGCGUGCCUAAUACAUGCAAGUCGAACGCAGUGGGGACGGGUGAGUAACACGUGGGUAACCUCCCAUCAGAGGGGAUAACACUUGGAAACAGGUGCUAAACCGAUACUGAUGGAUGGACACGCGGGUCAUUAGCUAGUUGGUGAGGUAACGGCUCACCAAGGCCACGAUGCAUAGCCGACCUGAUAGGUUGAUCGGCCACACUGGGAUUGAGUCCCGGCCCAGCCUCCUACGGGAGGCAGCAGUAGGGCACCUUCGGCAAUGGACGAAAGUCUGAACGAGCAACGCCGCGUGAGUGAAGAAGGUUUUCGGAUCGGAAAACUCUGUGGUUAGAGAAGCGGUAUCUAACCAGAAAGCCACGGCUAACUACGUGCCAGCAGCCGCGGUAAUUC